rnacentral:rRNA from 1 species
CCUACGGGAGGCAGCAGUGGGGAAUAUUGGGCAAUGGACGAAAGUCUGACCCAGUAACGCCGCGUGAAGGAAGAAGGCUUUCGGGAUGUAAACUUCUUUUAAGGGGGAAGAGAAGAAGACGGUACCACUUGAAUAAGUCACGGCUAACUACGUGCCAGCAGCCGCGGUAAUACGUAGGGGGCAAGCGUUGUCCGGAUUUACUGGGUGUAAAGGGCGUGCAGCCGGGAAGACAAGUCAGAUGUGAAAUCCCGCGGCUCAACCGCGGAACUGCAUUUGAAACUGUUUUUCUUGAGUGUCGGAGAGGUAAGCGGAAUUCCUAGUGUAGCGGUGAAAUGCGUAGAUAUUAGGAAGAACACCAGUGGCGAAGGCGGAUUACUGGACGACAACUGACGGUGAGGCGCGAAAGCGUGGGGAGCAAACAGGAUUAGAUACCCCGGUAGUC